rnacentral:sRNA from 1 species
UCAACCGCCACCGCCCGCGAGAUGCAGGCCAC